AGAUGUCUUCAGGGCAGGGUGAGAUUCCCGACCGGCGGUAUAGUCCGCGAGCGUUUUUUAAAACGCAGGAAUUGGCAUAAGUUCAAUUCAGGAUUUGGUGAAAUUCCAAAACCGACAGUAUAGUCUGGAUGAGAGAAGAUGUGU
rfam:Clostridium hiranonis DSM 13275 Scfld3 genomic scaffold, whole genome shotgun sequence.